UUGGGAUUGGGAACCCUGGGUCUCAGGAACAGAGGCUCAAGGGAGGAGACAUAAGGACUACCAGGAAGAAAUAUCAGAGCUUUUAAUUCAUGUUGGACAAGCACAGACACAUACGCCGAAGGUGUGAGGUGUAAACGACUCUUGCUUGAAGUAUCUGUUUUGAGAGUAAACAUGCAAUGAGGCUCUGCGCACAUUCAAAGGAGUUACUGUACAUUGAGUUUUCCCAGAACAGCAGAACAUGAUCUGACCAUGAAGUGAUUUAUUGACCACAUAUGGACACAGUCACGCAUGGCGGGGCAUAAAGCGAUUGAAAUAUUCCAUCAGGUACAUUGUGAUUCAUGAAUGUAUGUAACAGUAAGCCAAGAACAGGGUUACAUGAGUCCACCAGACAAACCUGGAUACUGGAGCAGAGCCACACUGAAUCAACCUUCAGAUGGAAAGAGGGUGUUGUUCUCUUUCAUCAUACAAGAAACAAUGAACACGCCAUGCGAGUGUGGGUGGAGCGGUUCAGCUGGAAACCUGAUCACUGAAACACAGACGGGACUGUGGCCCGGGGCUCCCGCAUUUAGCUAAGCGCACACACACACACACACACACACACACACACACACACACACACACACACACACACACACACACACACACACACACACACACACACCAUUUCUGAAUUUGUCUCCUUCAUUUUCACCCCAUCAUUAUAAAUUACACUGGAGUCCCUCUACUGGCAGACCUGUUAACUUCACUACAGUGGAUCCAUCCUCUUUACAGUUUUAGGGUCUCCAAUCACUGGAUCCAAGGGGACACAUCUCGGACAGGUUGCCAGUCCAUCCCAGAGCUAACGCAGAGACAGACAACCACACACCUGCACCAGUCCUCACAGUCCAAACACAUGGUUUUGGACUGUCGGGGCACGCUGGAGGACCUGGAGGAAACAGAUUUGCUUUGGGGCCUGGUUGACCUGUGAAGAAGUUGUGGACCAAAAACACCUGAACAUCACCAUGCACACACCACACAGUCAGGAAAUAAGACUUCUCCUGCUGUAUGAUUAAAAAAACAACAACCUGCCAUUAUAAUAGCAUGAUGGUCUGGCUGAUUUAACCUUUGAACCAGGAAGAAGAUGAAGACAAUCCACCAGCAUGUUACCACUGAUUUUCACCAUCUAACACCAAAACACGAGAAGUGCUGCUUGAACAUCCAGAAAAACAUUCUCAGGGAAAAGCAGUAUUUUCGGAGGGAAAUAUUAAAUUUGCAAAAUAGAACAAGACAAAUCACAAACACAUACACACACACACACUCACAGCAAAAACCUUUGAGGAAGCACCGAGCACUGAAAGUCAAUCACUGUGGUAUUUGCGAGUCAAAGCCUCCAAACCCUGUUGUUACAGAGUUAUAGGAUGACUGAGAAGGUGCAGUGGUAUUAUUUUAAAGAGCUAAAUCUCCAGGUAAAGCAGGACCGCACCCAAAAUGUAAUCAUGAGGAACUGUAUCAAGCUAUGCUGCUGUGUGUUUAAAUGUGGUUGACAGGAUGGAAGUGAAAAGCACUUUCAUGAAAAAUAUUUCAAAGAGUAUCUUCUCUGCCCCGCCCACGCUGGAGGCUCUGGGAUGGAGACAGAAAUGUGGUCAAAGAGACACAUUUUCUUCCUGCCAGCUUUUUGUUAUUUUGUUUUCCAAAUGUGUAUCGGGGGGGGGGGGGGGUUAGUAGGAAGACUUUGUCUUUAUUUAUUCCUCAUGUUUCUCUUCUAAACCUUUUAAAAGUCGCCAGAUCUUCUAGACAAGAACGAUGCCCACCAGGGCUGUUUGAGAGGAAACGAGUGACUGGGCCAGACUGGUGAAUCAUCAAAGACAUCGGUGUACGCCGUACGGUUUAAAUCAGUGUGUUCCGACUUGCUACCACAAAGUUAACAUUAAUGUGGCCGGUAGCGUUCUGUCAGCACUCUCACAGCAUUUCCUUUGCAGCUUAUCGAGAACGCAUGGAUGACCAGAUGAUUAUUUAGUAAAUGAACUUGGACAGUCUAAAAUGCAGUCUUGAUGUACUUGGUGAAAAAAAAAAAACAUCUACAAGGCAUUAAAUUGUUUGCUUUGAGAAAACUCUUGUACAUC